UACAGAGGUGGCAAGCGUUGUUCGGAAUUACUGGGCGUAAAGGGCGCGUAGGCGGUCUUGUAAGUCUUGUGUGAAAUCCCUCGGCUUAACUGAGGAACUGCACGGGAUACUGCGAGACUUGAGAUCGGGAGAGGGAAGCGGAAUUCCGGGUGUAGCGGUGAAAUGCGUAGAUAUUCGGAAGAACACCAGUGGCGAAGGCGACUUACUGGACACAUAUUGACGCUGAGGUGCGAAAGCGUGGGGAGCAAACAGG
rnacentral:rRNA from 1 species